rnacentral:rRNA from 1 species
AGAGCGAACGUUAGCGGCGGGCUUAACACAUGCAAGUCGAACGAGAAUGAGGGAGCAAUCCUUCUAGUAAAGUGGCGGACGGGUGCGUAACACGUGGACAAUCUACCUUCCGGCGGGGGACAACAGUUCGAAAGGACUGCUAAUACCGCGUACGUCGGCGGGAACUCCGGUUCCUGUCGAGAAAGAUGGCCUCUCCUUGGAAGCUGUCACCGGAAGAUGAAUCCGCGGCCCAUCAGCUAGUUGGUGAGGUAACGGCUCACCAAGGCUAAGACGGGUAGCUGGUCUGAGAGGAUGAUCAGCCACACUGGGACUGCGACACGGCCCAGACUCCUACGGGAGGCAGCAGUGGGGAAUAUUGGGCAAUGGGCGAAAGCCUGACCCAGCCACGCCGCGUGAGUGAUGAAGGCCUUCGGGUCGUAAAGCUCUGUGGGGAGGGACGAACAAGCCGGCCAACUACCGGCCCUGACGGUACCUCCUUAGCAAGCACCGGCUAACCAUGUGCCAGCAGCCGCGGUAAUACAUGGGGUGCAAACGUUGCUCGGAAUUAUUGGGCGUAAAGCGCGCGUAGGCGGUCGCUUAAGUCGGAUGUGAAAUCCCUUGGCUUAACUGAGGAAGUGCAUCCGAGACUGAGCGGCUAGAGUACGAAAGAGGGUCGCGGAAUUCCCGGUGUAGAGGUGAAAUUCGUAGAUAUCGGGAGGAACACCGGCGGCGAAGGCGGCGACCUGGUUCGAGACUGACGCUGAGGCGCGAAAGCGUGGGGAGCAAACAGGAUUAGAUACCCUGGUAGUCCACGCCGUAAACGAUGGAUGCUAGAUGUUUCUGGUAUUGACCCCGGAGGCGUCGUAGCUAACGCGUUAAGCAUCCCGCCUGGGGAGUACGGCCGCAAGGCUAAAACU